GAGAAAUUGACUACAGAAAGAUGAGCACCAGGGACAUGUACCAAGAGCUUCUCACAGAAAAGACUGAGCUUAUAUGAUCUGACUUCCCAAAGGAGUCACAAUGUCAAGCAGGAUUUAAACUCAGCAAAGUUGAAAUGGAAGGACCAUUCCUUCAAAAAUGAGCAUCACACAUAUGAAAGG